GACAUUUCUUCUACCCUAUUACCAAAAAAUGUAUUAUUACAUGAUAAAUUGCUCCUCGCGUUUUUGCUUCAGGUCCACCCAAGUGAUUAAACAAUUGCCUGUUUACAGCACUCAUGAAAAUUCCUGUGGCCAGGCUAGAUCUACACAUUUUCAUACAUCCAAUCUGGCCUAAUUAGGAGAUUAAGAGCAGAAGUAAACAUUUACAUUACAUUUACUCUGACUUCAGCAAUCUGGAGCACACUGUGUAGUACCAGCCAGACUCAGCUCACAGACAGGUGCUGCCCUCAGUUCACAGACAGGCCACCACGCUCCUGGACCCAGAGGUCGGCAUGUGGUGCAGCUAGACGUCAGCAGAAGCUGCAGGGUCAGCAAAAAACAUCACAAAACAGUUAAUGUAAGAAGUGCAGGAAUGUGUAAGGGCGAGAGGUUCUGUGUAUUGUAUUGGGUGUGUGUGCUUGUGGGCGUAAGAAAAGAGGGAGGCCAGGAAGCUCUGAGGAACGGAGACCACAAACCUUAAGCCGUGCACACAAAUAUUGUAAAUAUUGCCUAUUCGCUUACUUCAAUAUAUGCCUUUUUUACAGUUUGUGUGGCAAAGCAGUUUUGACAGCUUUAGUCUCCUCGAAUGGAAUUACACACCCUUCAUGAGGCCUUUGCAGUUCUGAUUAAUAAACACUGCUGUGAGGUUGGACAACAGAAUGAAUAAGGGAAAGAUCUGAAGCAGCAAAGGAGAAGCUGUGCUAAUGAGCUAAUCACAAGAUGCUUGUCAAACCGGAGUCCUGAGCUUUGAACUACUGAGAAGGAGCAGAUACCGCUCCCGCUGAUGGGUUAAGGACCUUCUAUGGCCUUGUCCAGUUCUCCUAGAGUGACUGCCUGUCUCCUGAAGUCUCCUCUAUGCUCUCGAGAGCAUCUGGGCAGAACAGAAAUCAAAUGCGGAAAGCAGUGACAUAUGAAGUGAGGCCUGCGAGACUGAAAAAGAAUAUGUCCAGACCAAAUUGAUGUACAGCAUGUGGUCCAUUUGUGAAUCUUUUUGCCAUGGGCACUGUCGAGGCCUGAUGUUGGCCAAGUUGUUUUCCAGAUGUGUCUUCAGGUCCUGACUUAUGCAAGGCCACUCCUGACGUCAGUGCUUUUGGAGAGGAACCUGCACACAUUCCUGAGAUGAGUGGGGAUCCAGACCCAGCCCCUCUUCCCCUCCCCCAAACUCCCCCUGCCCUUCCUCUUGUAUCAGCUAUGACAGCG